AAGUCGUAACAAGGUUUCCGUAGGUGAACCUGCGGAAGGAUCAUUAACGAGUUUUUGAACGGGUUGUCGCUGGCUUUUCGAAGCAUGUGCACGCCUGGCUCAAUCCACUCCUUUAACCUCUGUGCACUUAUUGUAGAUUGGUGAAUAAACCUGGGCUUUCAAGCCCUAGUUUUGAAGCCUCUCUAUGUUUUUAAUCAUAAACGUAUCAGUUAUAGAAUGUCUUUACUUUGCUAUAAUGCAAUUAUAUACAACUUUCAGCAACGGAUCUCUUGGCUCUC
rnacentral:misc_RNA from 1 species